GACGAACGCUGGCGGCGUGCCUAAUACAUGCAAGUCGAACGCAGUGGGGACGGGUGAGUAACACGUGGGUAACCUCCCAUCAGAGGGGAUAACACUUGGAAACAGGUGCUAAACCGAUACUGAUGGAUGGACCCGCGGUGCAUUAGCGAGUUGGUGAGGUAACGGCGCACCAAGGCUACGAUGCAUAGCCGAGCUGGGAGGGUGGUCGGCCACACUGGGACGUGGAAACGGCCCAGAAUCCUACGGGAGGCAGCAGUAGGGAAUCUUCGGCAAUGGACGAAAGUCUGACCGAACAACGCCGCGUGAGUGAAGAAGGUUUUCGGGUCGUAAAACUCUGUUGUUAGAGAAGCGGUAUCUAACCAGAAAGCCACGGCUAACUACGUGCCAGCAGCCGCGGUAAAUAC
rnacentral:rRNA from 1 species